GUGUCAGCAGCCGCGGUAAUACGUAGGUGGCAAGCGUUGUCCGGAUUUACUGGGCGUAAAGGAUGUGUAGGCGGAUAUUUAAGUGAGAUGUGAAAUCCCCGGGCUUAACUUGGGGGCUGCAUUUCAAACUGGAUGUCUAGAGUGCAGGAGAGGAAAGCAGAAUUCCUAGUGUAGCGGUGAAAUGCGUACGGAUUAGGAAGAAUACCAGGGGCGAAGGCGGCUCUCUGGUCGGCAGCUGACGCUGAG
rnacentral:rRNA from 1 species